GGGUUGUAAACCUCUUUUCACGAAGAAGAAUUAUGACGGUACUCGGGGAAUAAGUCUUGGCUAACUACGUGCCAGCAGCCGCGGUAAUACGUAGGAGGCGAACGUUAUUCGGAUUUACUGGGCGUAAAGCGGGUGCAGACGGCUUUUUAAGUCGGCUGUGAAAUCUCCUGACUUAAUUGGGAGAUGUCAUUCGAUACUAUUAAGCUAGAGGACGGUAGAGGAAAGCGGAACUCCCGGUGUAGCGGUGAUAUGCGUAGAUAUCGGGAGGAACACCAGAGGCGAAGGCGGUUUUCUAGGUUGUCACUGACACUGAGGCUCGAAAGCGUGGGGAGCGAACAGAAUUAGAUACUCUGGUAGUCCACGCCUUAAACUAUGGACACUAGGUAUAGGGAGUAUCGACCCUCUCUGUGCCGAAGC
rnacentral:rRNA from 1 species